rnacentral:rRNA from 1 species
AUGGUUGGGGCAGAUAGAAGCGAUUGCUUCAAGCACUUCUAUGAAAGAAUUAAGGAGAGAUUGAAAGGAUGGAAGGAAAAGCAACUCUCUACUGGGGGUAAAGAAAUUCUUAUCAAAGCGGUGGCCCAGGCCAUUCCAGUGUUUGCUAUGUCGGUGUUUAGCUUACCAAAUGGGAUAUCCAAAGAUUUCACUGAUUUAAUUGCCCAAUUUUGGUGGGGUGAUGAAGACCACAAGAAGAUGCAUUGGUAUACAUGGUGGAAGCCAUGUUACCCGAAAUGUGAGGGAAUGGGGUCCAGGGACCUUUAUUCCUUUAAUCUGGCCAAGCUCUCAAAACAGGUUUGGCGACUCAUAGAUGACCAGGAGUCUCCCUGUGCAAGGAUUUUGAAGGCAAAAUAUUAUCCUAACUGUAGUUUACUCCUGAAGGAAAUAUGCCCUAGAGGCAAUAAUAAAGUUGUUAUUUUAUAUUUCCUUGUUCAUGAUAAAGGUUUACUAUUCAUGCUAGAACCGUAUUGA